AAGCCAUGUAUCGAGCAUUUUCUGAUUAAUUCCUUGAAUCGUUCCCAAGUUUCAUACAAUGUCUCAUCCUCAUAUUGCCUAGCCAAAAAUAGGCAAUAUCAUUCCUUAAUUU
rnacentral:snoRNA from 1 species